AUAAUAAUAAGAUAUAUAUUUAUUAUAUCACGAAAUAAGAUGAGCUAAAAGUAUAAAUAUAUUAGUAAUGACUCUGUGUGUUGCAUUACACAACUAUUAUAAACUUUUGGGGGUGAAAUAUCUUCAAGUCUUAUGAUAACUUGAUAUAUAGGAAAAAUAUUUAGUAUUAAAUCAAUUUAAAAAUGCUAAGGUUUUUAAAUUGUAUAAUAAUUAUAUUAAUUUAUUUAAAAUGUUUAAUAGCAAUUAAAUUAAAUUUUUAUAAUUUUGUAUUAUAAUAUAUACACACUACUAUAAUUUAGAUAUUAAUUUAAAUAUAUAUAAUUAAUGUUACUAUUAGUAUUAAAAUAAUUUUUGUUAAGGAACUCGGCAAACAUAUACUACUCAACUGUUUAUCAAAAACAUUGCUUUAUGUAACAUAUAAGGUUAACCCUGCUCAAUGACAUGUUAAAUAGCCGCAGUACUUUGACUGUGCAAAGGUAGCAUAAUCAUUUGGCUUAUAAUUGGAGUCUGGAAUGAAUGGGAGUAUGGGUAGUAACUGUCUUACCAUAAAUAAGUGAAUUUACUAAUUAAGUGAAAAUUCUUAUAAUUUAUAUAAUAGACGAGAAGACCCUAGAAAUUUUAUAUAUUUAUGUUUACCUAAGCUAUUUUGUUGGGGCGACAGAACAACAUAAAAACUUGUUUAUUUUUAUUUGACCUUAUUGAAUAGUAUAAUUAAAUUACUCUAGGGAUAACAGCAUAAUACAAAAGAGUUUGUGACCUCGAUGUUGGACUAGGAAUGUUAUUGUUUAAAAGAUAAUAAUAAAGGCUCUGUUCGAGCUGGUACUCCUACAUGAUCUGAGUUCAGACCGGCU
rnacentral:rRNA from 1 species